CCUAAUACAUGCAAGUCGAGCGGACAGAUGGGAGCUUGCUCCCUGAUGUUAGCGGCGGACGGGUGAGUAACACGUGGGUAACCUGCCUGUAAGACUGGGAUAACUCCGGGAAACCGGGGCUAAUACCGGAUGGUUGUCUGAACCGCAUGGUUCAGACAUAAAAGGUGGCUUCGGCUACCACUUACAGAUGGACCCGCGGCGCAUUAGCUAGUUGGUGAGGUAACGGCUCACCAAGGCGACGAUGCGUAGCCGACCUGAGAGGGUGAUCGGCCACACUGGGACUGAGACACGGCCCAGACUCCUACGGGAGGCAGCAGUAGGGAAUCUUCCGCAAUGGACGAAAGUCUGACGGAGCAACGCCGCGUGAGUGAUGAAGGUUUUCGGAUCGUAAAGCUCUGUUGUUAGGGAAGAACAAGUGCCGUUCAAAUAGGGCGGCACCUUGACGGUACCUAACCAGAAAGCCACGGCUAACUACGUGCCAGCAGCCGCGGUAAUACGUAGGUGGCAAGCGUUGUCCGGAAUUAUUGGGCGUAAAGGGCUCGCAGGCGGUUUCUUAAGUCUGAUGUGAAAGCCCCCGGCUCAACCGGGGAGGGUCAUUGGAAACUGGGGAACUUGAGUGCAGAAGAGGAGAGUGGAAUUCCACGUGUAGCGGUGAAAUGCGUAGAGAUGUGGAGGAACACCAGUGGCGAAGGCGACUCUCUGGUCUGUAACUGACGCUGAGGAGCGAAAGCGUGGGGAGCGAACAGGAUUAGAUACCCUGGUAGUCCACGCCGUAAACGAUGAGUGCUAAGUGUUAGGGG
rnacentral:rRNA from 1 species